rnacentral:rRNA from 1 species
GAUGAACGCUAGCGGGAGGCCUAACACAUGCAAGCCGAGCGGUAGAGUUUCUUCGGAAACUUGAGAGCGGCGCACGGGUGCGUAACACGUGUGCAACCUACCUUUAUCUGGGGGAUAGCCUUUCGAAAGGAAGAUUAAUACCCCAUAAUAUAAUGAUUGGCAUCAAUUAUUAUUGAAAACUCCGGUGGAUAGAGAUGGGCACGCGCAAGAUUAGAUAGUUGGUGAGGUAACGGCUCACCAAGUCAAUGAUCUUUAGGGGUCCUGAGAGGGAGAUCCCCCACACUGGUACUGAGACACGGACCAGACUCCUACGGGAGGCAGCAGUGAGGAAUAUUGGACAAUGGGUGAGAGCCUGAUCCAGCCAUCCCGCGUGAAGGAUGACGGUCCUAUGGAUUGUAAACUUCUUUUGUACAGGGAUAAACCUACCCUCGUGAGGGUAGCUGAAGGUACUGUACGAAUAAGCACCGGCUAACUCCGUG